rnacentral:rRNA from 1 species
CCUACGGGUGGCAGCAGUGAGGAAUAUUGGUCAAUGGCCGGAAGGCUGAACCAGCCAUGCCGCGUGAAGGUCAGUGCCCUAUGGGCGUUAAACUUCUUUUGUGCGGGAGCAAUAAUGGUCACGUUUGGCCAGACGAGAGUACCGUACGAAUAAGCAUCGGCUAACUCCGUACCAGCAGCCGCGGUAAUACGGGGGAUGCAAGCGUUAUCCGGAUUUAUUGGGGUUAAAGGGUGCGUAGGCUGUGAGGUAAGUCAGCGGUGAAAUGCCCCCGCUCAACGGGGUGAAGUGCCAUUGAUACUGCCUUGCUGGAAUGCGGAUGCCGUGGGAGGAAUGUGUGGUGUAGCGGUGAAAUGCAUAGAUAUCACACAGAACACCGAUUGCGAAGGCAUCUCACGAAUCCGCGAUUGACGCUGAUGCACGAAAGCGUGGGUAUCAAACAGGAUUAGAUAUCCCUGUAGUC